rnacentral:rRNA from 1 species
AGGGGCAGCGGGGAAAAGCUUGCUUUUCCGCCGGCGACCGGCGCACGGGUGCGCACCGCGUAUGGAACCUGCCUUGUACAGGGGAAUAGCCCAGGGAAACUUGGAUUAAUGCCCCGUAGUACCGUAUUUCGGCAUCGUUAUACGGUUAAAGCCUUCGGGCGGUACAAAAAGGGCCNGGCGUCCCAUUAGCUUGUUGGUAAGGUAACGGCUUACCAAGGCUACGAUGGGUAGGGGCCCUGAGAGGGGGAUCCCCCACACUGGUACUGAGACACGGACCAGACUCCUACGGGAGGCAGCAGUGAGGAAUAUUGGACAAUGGAGGAGACUCUGAUCCAGCCAUGCCGCGUGCAGGAAGAAUGCCCUAUGGGUAGUAAACUGCUUUUAUACGGGAAGAAAAAGAGCUACGUGUAGCUUACUGACGGUACCGUAAGAAUAAGGACCGGCUAACUCCGUGCCAGCAGCCGCGGUAAUACGGAGGGUCCGAGCGUUAUCCGGAAUUAUUGGGUUUAAAGGGUCCGUAGGCGGGCCGAUAAGUCAGGGGUGAAAGUCUGCCGCUCAACGGUAGAACUGCCUUUGAUACUGUCGGUCUUGAGUUAUAGUGAAGUUGCCGGAAUAUGUANNUGUAGCGGUGAAAUGCAUAGAUAUUACAUAGAACACCGAUUGCGAAGGCAGGUGACUAACUAUAUACUGACGCUGAUGGACGAAAGCGUGGGGAGCGAACAGGANUAGAUACCCUGGUAGUCCACGCCGUAAACGAUGGAUAC